AACGGUCUAUACCUGCGGUACCUGCGGAGGGAUCAUUACCAAUUUUUAUAUAUAUAUUAGUGUGGCGGUCUCGGUCAAACGGGAUCACACUACUACUAUUGUAAACGUUGAACUAGAUCAUUGGUUGUGGAUUGCUUGGGAAUGGACGAAGCGACAAGCCUCUUCCGGACAGGCAAACCCCACACCGAUAACCUUUUCAUACAUAUUACAACUAGUACAUACUACAAACAAACAAACAAA
rnacentral:misc_RNA from 1 species